CCCGCUGAACUUAAGCAUAUCAAUAAGCGGAGGAAAAGAAACUAACCAGGAUUCCCCUAGUAACGGCGAGUGAAGCGGGAAGAGCUCAAAUUUGUAAUCUGGCGGUCUUCAGGCCGUCCGAGUUGUAGUCUGGAGAAGCGUUUUCCGCGCCGGUGCCGUGUACAAGUCUCUUGGAACAGGGCGUCAUAGAGGGUGAGAAUCCCGUCUUUGACACGGACAACCGGGGCUUUGCGAUGCGCUCUCGAAGAGUCGAGUUGUUUGGGAAUGCAGCUCAAAUCGGGUGGUAAAUUCCAUCUAGAGCUAAAUACAGGCGAGAGACCGAUAGCGAACAAGUACCGUGAGGGAAAGACGAAAAGAACUUUGGAAAGAGAGUUAAACAGUACGUGAAAUUGCUGAAAGGGAAACGCUUGAUGUCAGUCGCGUUGGCCGGGGAUCAGCCUUGCUUAAUCGCGAGGCGUACUUCCUGGUCGACGGGUCAGCAUCAGUUUUGACCGUCGGAAAAGGGCUUGAGGAAAGUGGCACUCUCUCGGGAGUGUGUUAUAGACUCGGGUCUUGAAUACGAUGGUUGGGACUGAGGAACUCAGCACGGCCCUUUGGGUAUCGGGGCUUCGGCCCACGUUCGCGUGCUUAGGAUGCUGGCAUAAUGGCCUUAAGCGACCCGUCUUGAAACACGG
rnacentral:rRNA from 1 species